GGGUUGUGAGGUUAAGCGACUAAGCGUACACGGUGGAUGCCCUGGCAGUCAGAGGCGAUGAAGGACGUGCUAAUCUGCGAUAAGCGUCGGUAAGGUGAUAUGAACCGUUAUAACCGGCGAUUUCCGAAUGGGGAAACCCAGUGUGAUUCGUCACACUAUCAUUAACUGAAUCCAUAGAUUAAUGAGGCGAACCGGGGGAACUGAAACAUCUAAGUACCCCGAGGAAAAGAAAUCAACCGAGAUUCCC
rnacentral:rRNA from 1 species